rnacentral:rRNA from 1 species
UACGUAGGGUCCGGGCGUUGUCCGGAAUUACUGGGCGUAAAGAGCUCGUAGGUGGUUUGUCGCGUUGUUCGUGAAAACUCACAGCUCAACUGUGGGCGUGCGGGCGAUACGGGCAGACUGGAGUACUGCAGGGGAGACUGGAAUUCCUGGUGUAGCGGUGGAAUGCGCAGAUAUCAGGAGGAACACCGGUGGCGAAGGCGGGUCUCUGGGCAGUAACUGACGCUGAGGAGCGAAAGCGUGGGGAGCGAACAGG